UGCUUCUAUCGUUUAAAGGUAAGACAUUAUUUUUUCGUGAUAAAGAUGUGAGUUCAAUUCUCACUAGAAGUAU
rnacentral:tRNA from 1 species